rnacentral:rRNA from 1 species
GAGUUUGAUCCUGGCUCAGAACGAACGCUGGCGGCGUGCUUAACACAUGCAAGUCGAACGUGAUCCAGAGCUUGCUCUGGUGAAAGUGGCGCACGGGUGAGUAACGCGUGGAUAACCUGCCCUGGUAUCUGGGAUAACAUCUCGAAAGGGGUGCUAAUACCGGAUAAGCCUACGGGCUCUUCGGAGUCUGCAGGAAAAGGAGGCCUCUAUUUAUAAGCUUCCGUAUCAUGAUGGGUCCGCGUACCAUUAGCUAGUUGGUGGGGUAAUGGCCUACCAAGGCGACGAUGGUUAGCUGGUCUGAGAGGAUGAUCAGCCACMCUGGAACUGAGACACGGUCCAGACUCCUACGGGAGGCAGCAGAGGGGAAUUUUGCGCAAUGGGGGAAACCCUGACGCAGCAACGCCGCGUGAGUGAUGAAGGCUUUCGGGUCGUAAAGCUCUGUCAGAGGGGAAGAAAUGAAACGUGCUAAUAUCACGUAUUCUUGACGGUACCCUCAAAGGAAGCACCGGCUAACUCCGUGCCAGCAGCCGCGGUAAUACAAGGGUCCAAKRSAAAMAAAUWWWYCCCCCCUUWARGGGGGCCCCUUGGGGAAAACWGGWUCGGAGAAAACAGCUWKWWACAAA